GAUUUUUCUUUAUUUUCAAUAAAUUUAUUUCGAUCUAAUACACAAUGUAAAAGUUUAUUUGCUUUUAAAUGGAACUGAAAGAAGAUUGGUAGUGCUCUCACUGGCAAGUUCAAUUUUUAGCUGUAUGAGUGCGCUCGUGACGUUUUGUACUUCGUAUAGCCUGUAUAAGUUCUACACUUUGUGCACCAGUGGUGCCGCUAUUGCGAUUUGAGAUGUUCGUUUUGGAUUUAUUUUUUGUAAAAUCAUGAUAUCAUGUUCAACCUAUUUUUUUAUAAACAUUAGUGUAAAUUGUGUAUAAAAAUGUGGAAAAAAUAAUUAUUAAAGUUAUUAAAUGUGAUUAGUUUGUUUAAAAGUUAAAUUAACUAGUGCAAGGUGUGAUCGCGCGUGAUUCGAGGUAAAGGAGAUAGCUUCUUUCUACUCGACUACCUUCCAUACUAGCUUUUACUAGUUGCCAUAAGAUCGUUUCGUAUAAAUGUUUUUUUUUAAACAGAUCUAUUAAGGCUUCCCUAUUGACUUAGAGUGAUUUAAAAAUCAGAUAUUGAUAGCGAGCGUUAACAAGUAGAGAAUCACGAAUGGAGAACGAAAA